AAUUAGCUGGGCAUGGUGACAUGUGCCCAUAGUCCCAGUUACUCAGGAGGCUGAGGCAGGAGGAUUGCUUCAGCCUGGAAGAUCGAGACUGCAAUGAGCCAUGAUUGCACCACUGCACUCCAGCCCAGGUGACAGAGCCAGACUCUGUCUCAAUCAAUCAAUAAGUGUGGCACAUGCCCGUCCUGUCUCUCUUGCUUCCACUCUCGCUAUGUGAUGUGACUGCUACCACGUCACCUUCCACUGAGAAAUAAAAGCUCCCUGAGGCCUCCCCAGAAGCCAAGCAGAUGCCAGUGCCAUGCCUAUACAGCCUGCAGAACCGUGAGCCAAUUAAGCCUCUUUUCUGUAUAAAUCACCCAGUCUUAGGUAUGUCCUUAUAGCAACACAAGAACAGCCUAACACAAGCACAAAACAAAGUCCUGGAGAUGCAGAGAUAAGUACAACAGGGUUCUGUCCUCACAGCUCACUCGUGCAAGGAGUCCUAGCAAUAAGUGUGGUGGAUAAUUUUCAAGUUUGGUUUGGGAUUAUCUCACCUUGUUCGAACCACAAAAGAUGAAGCAAUUUCAGAUUGUAAGUUGUUAUGGUCAUGCUGAUGGUCAGGGUGCAAAUAGAAAAGUUCAAGCCAUUCCAAGGACUGUGCUGGUCAGCGCAAGAUAUACAGAGAUACACUGAGGCCUGGCAUGGAUAAAUAAAGAUUGUAUGCCUAUGUAAAAAUGUAUGGGGUCAUAAGAGACAAGCCAUCUUUCCCCAUCUGCUGUAACAGCCUUAGGGAAAAAAGUCCAGUGGAAUCCUGUACUGGUCCGUUUCCACACUGCUGAUAAAGACAUACCCAAGACUGGGUAAUUUACACAGAAAAAGAGGUUUAAUGGACUCACAGUUCCACGUGGCUGGGGAGGCCUCACAAUCAUGGCAGAAGGCAAAAGCCACGUCUUACAUGGUGGCAGAUAAGAGAGAAUCAAAAUCAAGCAAAAGGGGAAACCCCUUAUAAAAUCAUAAGAUCUGGUCCAGCAUGGUGGCUCAUGCCUGUAAUCCCAGCACUUUGAGAUGCCGAAGUGGGUGGAUCACCUGAGGUCAGGAGUUGGAGACCAGCCUGGGCAACAUGAAGAAACCCCAUCUCUACUAAAAAUACAAAAAAUUAGCUGGGCAUGCUGGCAGGCACCUGUAAUCCCAGCUAUUGGGAGACUGAGGCAGGAGAAUUGCUUGAACCUGGGAGGCGGAGGUUGCAGUGAGCCAAGAUAGUGUCACUGCAGUCCAGCCUGAGUGACAGAGUGAGAAUGUCUCAAAAAAAAAAAAAAUUCAUCAGAUUUCUUGAGAUUUAUUCACUACCAUGAGAACAGUAUGGAGGAAACUGCCUUCAUGAUUUAAUUAUCUCCCACCUGAGGAAUUAUGGGAGCUACAAUUCAAGAUGAAAUUUGGGUGGGGACACAGCCAAACCAUAUCAGAUUCUUAAGGACUUGGGCAGGGAGAGGAGGUCUAUGAGAGAGCUGAGCACCAACUCAGCUGCCACAGCUGACACCUUAUUCAGAUAUCUUGAAGUUGACCUUGACCCUUCUGGGUCUUUUCAUAAGAACAAAAGAGCUACUGAGAGUGCAGCCACCAGGCCAGCCAAGUCCUGGCUUAAGAAAGUUAUCAGCAUUAUUGCAUCCUUCUCCCUCCAAAUCUUUCCUACAGAGAAAUGCCUGGCCUUUGAGAAUCUUCUACGGGGGGACCAGGGGUAUGAAGUUAGUAUUGAUCAAUGUUCUAAUCUGCAGUUUUUCUCUUUUCUUUUUGUUCAUGUGCUCCAUCAGUAGAUGUUUUCUUUCUUUCUUUUUUUUUUUUUUUUAAGCCCGGGAUUAAAGAGUGCUUCAUUUGAUUCAGCCACUUGGGUAUAUGAGGGAGAACUGAAACUGAAUGGAAAUUAUUCACAUGAGCCCCAGGAGCCACCCGAAUGUGUGGCAACUCAGGAAUACCAUAAUGGAGGUGUGCAGAAAGUGCUCUGUGACAGCUCACCCUGCCCUGGUUAUUUAAAAAGAAAGUGAGGUGUGAUUUGAGCUAUCAGUACAACAGGCAAAAGGACUUGUAAGUAUCAUGCUCUUUCUCUUUGAAGAGCUGGAGAAAUCAGAGGCUCUGAACCUCAUGGAAGAACGCACAGGCAAACCAGGCAAAAGCCGGAGUUUCAACUGCAGUCAGCCGGCCUUCACUUUAUCUUAUGCUGCCUUUGCCCUCCAGAGAGGUUUUGUUCCCAAAAAAUCUCCGAAAGGUGCCCAGCUAUGACGUCCAGCACUUCAUUUGUUGAUUCAAAGACCUGGGUUAAAAUACCAGCUCUGCCAUUUCAUUCAAGAUUCCCCUGAAUUCACAUUUAUUGGACACUAUGGUAUGUCGAAACUGUGCUCUGAUGAGGGAAUGAAAAGCUGAAUCAGGUGUGACUACUGCUUUCAAGGUGCUGCAGACUUUAUUGUGUUUCCCCAAGUUCAUAUGUUGAAGCCAUAACCUCCAGUGUGGCUGCAUUGGCAGAUAGGGCCUCUAAGUGGGUAGUGGAGGUUACAUGUGUCAUCGGGGUGUGGCCCUGAACCAAUAGGAUUAGUGUUCUUAUAAGAAGAGAUGCCAGAAAGAAAACAAAAAGAAAAAGAAAAGAAGAAAAGACAGGCCAGGUGCAGUGGCUCUCACCUAUAAUCCCAGCACUUUGAGAAACUGAGGCAGGAGGAUUGUUCAAACCCAGGAGUUUGAGACCAGCCUGGGCAAUAUAGUAAGACCCCAUCUCUACAAAAACUUUUUAAGAAAGAAAGAAACUGGCUGGGCAUGGUGGCUCAUGCCUGUAAUCCCAGCACUUUGGGAGGCCAAGGAGGGCAGAUCACAACGUCAGGAGAUUGAGACCAUCCUGGCUAACACAGUGAAACCCCGUCUUUACUAAAAAUACAAAAACAAAAUUAGCCAAGCGUGGUGGUGCGUGCCUGUAGUCCCAGCUACUCGGGAGGCUAAGGUGGGAGAAUGGCGUGAACCUGGGAGGUGGAGCUUGCAGUGAGCUGAGAUGGUGCCACUGCACUCCACCCUGGGUGACAGAGCAAGACUCUGUCAAAAAAAAAAAAAGAAAGAGAGAGAAAGAAAGAAGAAAGAGAGAGAGAAAGAGAAAGAAAAAGAAAGAGAGAAAGAGAAAGAGAAAGAAGAAAGAAAGAAGAAAGAGAAAGAAAGAAAGAAAGAAAGAAAAAAGAAAAACAAGGAAAGAAAGACAAAGAAAGAAAGAAAGAAAGAAAAAAGAAAAACAAGGAAAGAAAGACAAAGAAAGAAAGACAAAAGACACCAAAGCUAAUUAUUUCUCUCCAAGAACACAUACAAAGGAAAGGUCUUGCAAGGUCAUAGCGAGAAGGUGGCAGUCUGCAAGUCAGGAAGAGAGCCCUCAUCAGAAACUGAAUCCCUGCCUACAGAAUGUGAGAUAUAAAUGUCUAUUGUUUAAGCUCCCUAUCUGUGGUACCUCAUCAUGGCAGUCUAAGCUGACUAAGACACAUGAAGAUCAGAGCUUAGAAGUAGGAACAGGCGAGUUGGGUGGGGCAGGCUGUUUUGUUUGCAGGACGUGUCUCAGCUCACAUCGGGUUGGUAGGUCUUCCUCUGCAGCUGUUGUGACCAUGAAGCAAGCAGGCCCUCAGGAACCUGGCCUUACUGCCAGGCCUCACAGGGGGAGUCGAGGGACAGGAUGGCCACUCUGUGUCCAGAACAUGGGUAACAACUAGUGAACAGGUCGAUGGGAGACUAGGGUGACAAGUGACUGGGAAGUCUGAAACUACUGAAGCCUGUGUGGGUCUACUGAAGGGAUUUGACAGGAAGACGAUGUGGUCCCAGCCAUGGAGAGGCCAGCCUGGGCUGCUCUGUGGUCCCCGAGACCCUGGCCUGAGGGUGCACCAGCCCCAGCAUCAAUCAGAUCUCAUGGUGUUUCUAGGAUUCAAGGCCCUCACGGAGCCCCUGAAAGCAAGGCUCACUUUCCUAAGCUCUUCAAAGCUCAAGGAGCCAACGGCAGACCUGACACAUCCUGCAAUGCUCUCAGCAUGGGCCUGCUUAGCCUGCUCCCUCCUCAGCCAGUUUGCCCCAGAAACUAAAAAUAAAAUUGACAACAGAGGAGCAUUAAACAGCAAAAUCUAGCUGAGGGAGGAGCAGAGGCUUUGAACAAGGACAACUGGCACACACCGUGGUCACCUCUGGUUGUCCCGUCCUCCCUGGGCGUUGGGAGUUUGUGGAUGGAUAUUCACUGGAGCGCCUGCUCUGCCAAGAGAUAACUCAGCUUUCCUCUAAACCUCUGUGGUUUUAUCUCUUUUGUUUGUUUACUAUUUCUUCCUCCUCCCCUACGUGAGAAACAUCUCCCUGUAUCUCCAGUUCAAAUUCCCCAAAGCGAGAAUCUAAUUUGGUCUUCAGACCCUCUUUGAAGGGCUGCUGUCAUACAGGGCCAUUGGAUGGUCCUGCCAGCCUGCGAGCUGGCUGUCCUGGCUCCCAGGUAGUGACCUGUGGGCAGAGCCCUUUUCCUGCAAGUGGGUGGUGAGAAUCCAGGCACACUGGGGCAAGCCUGCCCUGCCUGUAUGGGGCAGAAUGUACUCAGCUGCUCGCAAGAGAAUAGCCGCAUACAAGCCGUCUCUAUUGCUGUGAGCUCAUUUUCCAUAGCAAGAAGCCUGCAGGUGGUUGGUCCUAGAACUCAGUGUCUCUGUGACCCCACAGAGGAUAUUUUUCCAUCUGCCAAGUGGCUGGACGGUAGUUGCAGCAGUUCAAUGAAUACAUCAAAUCCAGAGAUUUCCUUGACGCUCCCCUACCCCCACCCUCAGGAGAUGUGUUGAUGUCUCUUUGACAAAAGAGAGCCACAGUCCCACCUCUAGCUGCAAGAGAAGCUGGUGGAGUGAGAAGCUGGUGUAUACAAUGUCUACAGGGGUAAGUGGAUUCUAAUGACAAGGGAGAUGAUGGAACAUUGUGUAGGCAAACAUCUGCCCUACGAAGUAAACAGUUAACUAUAGCGUGGUACUGCAAGCGCUAUAAUAAUUUGCUAAGACACUGAUAUGGUUUGGCUAUGUCCCCAACCAAAUCUCACCUUGAAGUGUAAUAAUCCCCAUGUGUCAAGGGCAGGGCCAGGUGGAGAUAAUUGAAUCAUAGGGGGCCGUUUCCCCAUACUGUUCUCAUGGUAGUGAAUAACUCUCACGAGAUCUGAUGCUUUUAUAAAGGGGAGUUCCCCUGCCCAAGCUCUCUUGCCUGCCUUCAUGUAAGACGUGACUUUGCUCCUCACUCGCCUUCAGCCAUGAACGUGAGGCCUCCCCAGCCAUGUGGAUGUGAGUUCAUUAAACCUUUUUCCUUUGUAAAUUAUGCAGUCUCGGGUAUGUCUUUAUUAACAGGGUGAGAACAGACUGAUACAGACACUCUUUGGGAUAAGUCACAUAACCUCUUCGAGGCUCAGAUUCCUAAAAUGAAAAAUGAAAAUGAUAGUACUUACAUCACAGAGGUGUUGUACAGAUUAAUAUGAAAUAAUGUAUAAGAAAGUCUCUAUUUCAAUACUUAAUAGGUAAUAAACGCACCUUGGCUCCUUCCUCCCCAUCAACUACAGGGUAAAUGAGCAAUAAAUACUUGCUAACCAAAUAAACAUUGCUUAUCUGGAACAUUAUCCUCUUGAAUUUUGUUGGCGAUUUGUAAAAAGAAAGAAAAUCAAGUCAGCAUGCAAAGUAAAAGUAAACAUGAAAAAUUCAAAGGCUGGCAUGCUAGGAAUUAAUUUAAAAUGCAAUCAUGCUUCAUUGUAUUUCAAAGAAAGCUAAAUAACUACGUUGAAGCCUCUAACACAUUUUCCCUCGAUAGACUGAUUAUCCAUUGUUUCCCUCCCUCAGAUAGAACCCUUGGAAUAAUUUGCCAUUUCUUCCUGCAACUGGCUCAGCUACACUCUUGAUUUUCGGUUUGGUUUUGAUUUAGUUUUUUUCCUCCACUGGAAAGUCCCCAGGAUAAUCUGGAUUUAUUUCUCAUCUGAAAUAAAACACAUUAACUGGCAGUAUUCCCUUCAUACUCCCUUCCUUACGAAUGGUUCAAAACACUGUCAUUAAAAUCCAUUGCUCUCACCUGUAUCUUUGACAACAUAAUCAAUGGAUGCUUCCGCGGUAGAGUCAAUGUAGUCACAUUUGAUUUCGAGACUCUUUAUCAAAUUAGCCCUGAUUAUAUCACCUCCCAGUUCCAUUUAGGGAUCCUUUCCCUGCCAAUUAUGCAAAAAGACAUUUGGUUUCCUUCUUUCUCCUACAACUUGUCAUCAGAGGCGCCUGCGACUCUAUCCAAGAUCCAAGAAUUCUUCCUUUAAUUCAGAAUUCAUCUCACAGCCCACUUCCUCCAGAAAACUCGCACCAGCAAUGGUGUGAAGUCCUAUCUGUCCCACAAAACAAGACCAUCUGAACACUUGGCCUUCGAUAGUCUGAAAAACCAAGAGACAGCGAUAAACCUUUUUCUCUGGAAUGUAAACUCUUUCAUGCUUGGUGUGAUGCAAGAGUGUAGUAAUUUUACACAUCUACCAUAGCCGGUACUAAAAAUUCACUCCAGUCAUAAAUCUUCAAUCUGCCACCCAGUGCCAAGCCCACACCCACCUUCAGUUCUGGAGUUUCCAAUGGCUUAUGGGACCUCCCCAUACUCUAGGGCUUCUGGUUCCUCCAGAGUCAAGAUGGUUAGGGAAGAGGGAUUCAUGAAAAUGAUAUAACUGUUUUGUCUCUCUCUCUCUCUCUUUUUUUUUUUUUUAAACAAGCUCUGACUCUUUCAUCUAGGCUGGAGUGUAGUGACACAUGGCUCACUGCAGCCUUAACCUCCUGGGCUGAAGCAAUCCUCCUGCCUCAGCCUCCUGAGUAGCUGAAACUAUAGCUGCAUGCCACCAUGCCCAACUAAUAUUUUAAUUUUUUUUUGUAGAGCCAGAGUUUUGCCAUGUUGCCCAGGCUGGUCUUGAACUCCUGGGCGCGAACAAUCCACCUACCUCAGCCUCCUAAAGUGCUGGGAUUACAGGCAUGAGCUGCCAUACCCAGCCACUUUUUUUUUUAUUUAGAGACAGAGCCUUGCUCUGUCACCCCUCAUCCCCCAGGCUGGAGUGCAGUGGCAUGAUCAUGGUUCACUGCAGCCUUCAACUCCUGGCCUCAAGAGAUCCUUCUGCCUUAGCCUCCCAAGUAGCUGGAACUACAGGCACAUGCCACCAUACCAAUUUUUUUUAUUUUUUGUAGAGACAUUGUCUUGCUAUGUUGCCCUGGCUGGUCUUGAACUCCUAGCCUCCCGAAGUGCUAGGAUUAUAGGCAUGAGCUGCUGCACCUGACCAGUAUAACUUGUUUUACUGAGUCAGUGCAGAUGUAAUCUUCGCUGUUAUCCAUGCCUUGCUGUAUGGCAGGCAUCCAAAUAUUGGUUCUCUGAUGGAGCUUUUGCACAAGUCUUUGGAUGGCCCAAAAGUUCCCUGGCUGAAUGAUGUGCUCUGACUUGUAAUCUUUUCUGCAAGUCCCUACACCUGGUCAUAGACUCUACGCUUCUUCCUACUGGACUUCCUGCUGCCUUCUUGAGGAGGAUACCAGCAAGACAACUCAAGCCCAGCCACCUUUCCUGGUCUCUGCUUGCCCCUUGGGACACUCACACAACUCUGAUUGCUCCAGCAAGCCUUUCAUUCCAAAAUUACCCAGGCAAGAAGCAAGGACCAGUCUCUAUUUGCUCAUCUAUUCCCAGGCUUCUGAAGAAAUAGAUCUGGCUUUCUCAAGAACUCUUUCACUGAGUUCUGCAACAACAUGGGAGCUCAUGUGGACCCAUGAGUUUCUACAUCUUAGCAAGUGUCUAGAUCAGGACUAAGAUGUCAGUCCUUUCCCUUCUCGCCAGCAUCUUGAGUCUCUAAGGUUCUCUUGAAGCUCCACACAUGUGGCUUCAAGGGAAGGAAAGGAGUAGCUCUCACCUUGAACCUGAGUGAUUUUCUAAUGCCUGGACUUCUAUUAUUGUAAGAUGGGGAGAAGGAGAGGGGACUAUUGGUCAAUGAACUGCUCCUGCCAGCUCAUAGGUGGUCCUUUAAAUAUGGGGAUUUAGCACCUCUUAUUCUCAGCUUUAGGGCUGCAGCCUCAUUUUGGAGACAACAUGAAAUGUCCCAUUGACAUUCUGUUAAACAAUGUUGUAAUGACUGUCCUUGCACGUCUAUCUUUGUGAGCCUUUGAGAGUAUGGCCAAAGGGUGAAUUACUCAUAGAUGUUGCUAAAUUGUUUUCCAGGAAGGUUGCACCAGUUUGCACUUCCAGAACACUGCAGGAGCACAUCCAUUUCCCGACAUUCUCCCCAAGCCCAGCUAGACAUUCCUCAACCUCAAACAUGGGACAGAGCUCUGGUUGGAAAGACCAACUCACUCGGUCAAAAGGCCAGAUGAAUGCACCAUUCUAGACACUUAAAAGUGUCAAAUACCAAGCUUUUCUGGUGACAGGGUGGAGGAAGGAGGGAGGAUGGAAGAGAGAAGACAAGGAAAGGGAAAGGGAGGGAAGAGAAGAAUUAUUUUCAGAAUCUAUUGCCGGCUAUUGUACUUUAUCUCGAAUUGUCUCAUGGGGGCCAGGCCCGGUGGCUCACACCUGUAAUCCCAGCACUUUGGGAGGCUGAGGUAGGCGGAUCAGUUGAGGUCAGGAGUUCAAGAACAGCCUGGCCAAUAUGAUGAAACCCCAUCUCUACUAAAAAUACAAAAGCUGACAUGGUGGUGGGCGCCUGUAAUCCCGGCUGCUGGGGAGGCUGAGACAGAAGAAUCACUUGAACCCGGGAGGCAGAGGCUGUAGUGAGCCGAGAUCAUGCCACUGCACUCUAGUCUGGGGGACAGAACGAGACUACAUCUCAAAAAAAAAAAGAAAAGAAAAUUGCUUUGAAUUGUCUUGUGGCCAGGAUGAGACGGAGGCAGGAGGUGAAGGUUUGUGCAGUUGGGCUCGUAGAAGUGACCUCGUGCCGUGCUGUUAACUGUGGUGAAACUGAGCCUCCUAAUCUUUUUUUUUUUUUUUUUUUUUUGACACAGAGUCUUGCUCUGCCACCCAGGCUGGAGUGCAGUGGUGCGAUCUCGGCUCACUGCAAGCUCUCCCUCCUGGGUUCACGCCAUCCUCCUGCCUCAGCCUCCCAAAUAGCUGGGACUACAGAUGCACGCCACCACGCCCGGCUAAUUUUUUGUAUUUUUUUAGUAGAGAUGGGGUUUCACCGUGUUAGCCAGGAUGGUCUCGAUUUCCUGACCUUGUGAUCCUCCUGCCUCGGCCUCCCAAAGUGCUGGGAUUACAGGCAAGAGCCACUGCGCCCAGCCAAGCCUCCUAAUCUUACCUCCAGUGAUGCUACUUAGCAGCAGAGGUGUUGCUGACACACCGGCAAGCAGCAGAACGUUGUCUCUACACAACACUCUUAUCCUACACAACACUGUUGUCCACCCAGAGAAAGGCCCUCUUUUUUCUUUUUUUUUCAGUUGAGAGAGAGUCUCUCUCACCGAGGCUGGAGUGCAGUGGUGUGAUCUCUGCUCACAGCAACCUCCGCCUCCCAGGUUCAAGCGAUUCUCCUGCCUCAGCCUCCCAAGUAGCUGGGAUUACAGGCACCUGCCACCACACCCGGCUAAUUUUUGUAUUUUCAGUGGAGACGGGGUUUCACCAUGUUGGCGAGGCUGCUCUCGAACUCCUGACCUCAGGUGAUCUGCCCGCCUCGGCUUCCCAAAGUGCUGGGAUUACAGGCGUGAGCCACUGUGCCCAGCUGAAAGGCCCUCUUUGAACAGAAUAUGUGUCCAGAAUUAGUCAACGUGGGAUCUCUGACAUCCUCCAAGACCCCCAGGGCAUUGCCCUGACUCCAUAACUGCUCAUUCACAGUGUCGUGUGUCCUCAUCCGCUGACCAGGUUCCAGUUCUCCAGAAGCACUUCUUCUCCAAACCAGCAGCAGCAGUAUCUGUGAGGGAAAUUUGUGUCUAUCUUUUAUUUUUCUUUCUGUUUUUUUCCCCCUUUUAAAACUCAAGUCACUAAAAGGGACUGUGACAACUCAAUAUAUUUGAACUUCUCUAGAUAGUCAGACUAAACACUAUGAAAUUCACUGUGUAUUCAAGAUUAAGAGCCACUGGACUUGGGGGACACUUUUUCUGUCACUGCCUUUGUUAGCCAAUGCCACUCCCGUAGAUCCACAGGCCCCAGAUAACAAACGUGGGGGCUGCAGACAGGACGUGGGGCUGGUGGAGACAGCGAGGUGCUGGCAGUCAGGAUCCCAGGGUCUGGA